AAGAGCAUCACUUGGAGAUGUCAAAACCACAGGAAGAGCUUGCAGGAAGGACCUGUUAAGCAGAUGUUCCACGGUAGAGGCAGGCUCUACGGAACAGUGAGAAACAGGUUCCUACUCCUUUCUCAGCACUUUUCCUUGAUACAAACUGUCAUGACGUCCGGGAUAGAUGUUAAGGAGGAUGAUCAGUUGGAACAGAUUUGAACAAAUGUAACCAACUGUCUGUAUGGAGGAAGCUGUAAGAAGACAUUCUGGAUUGCUGAAGGUAUCUGUAAUGAGGUCACUGAAAUGUCUAGAGGUUGAGUAGGUAAAACCAAUUAGCAUUCAGCUGGAGACACCUCUGCUGGCAAAAUAGCUUUAACUUUAUUACGACUAGUUUGACCAUUUAAUAGGCAAUUAUAAUAUUGUGAUCACCAAGUUGAUUCUAUGAUCUGAGGAUGUGGUGACGUCCCUAAAGAGAAGUAUGAUGGGACAAGCAAUCCGACAAUCAGAUCAGAGCCCUCAGGUUAGCCAAACUUUCCACUGUAAACACCCACUGCAGUUUACAGACCCACUCCCUGCCUCAGCUUUGACCUGCCGUACUGAAGUUGUGUUUUCCGUGCAAUGAGAUGCUCCUCCCACUACCUCGGGACUGCUUUAUCAGACAGUUCAUGUGCACCUCAGGAUGAAUUGUAAUAACCCUGGUGAUCCUGUAACCUUCCAGGUAUCCAUGACGAAAUACUUUCAAAACUAAUGAAAUUCCAAGUGUGAACCUAUUGUGACGUCACCCAUUGGUUUGUGGAGUACGGUUUUGAAGUUUGAAGCAUCGAGUUCAUGGUCGUCCCCAUGACAGUUGGGAGCCAGCAGCAGUGACGUACUGCGAGUAGAGCUGCUCUCAUUGGCUGCGCAGUUUUGACUCGUUCACAGCAGGAAACAGUGGUGGCUCACCUUGUCAUGUGCAUACUCAUAUUACAGCUAAACAGCACACUAAAAUAUUUUGUGAAAUGAUUUUAGGAAAGGUCGUUUAAGACCCAGAAACUCUGUCCAUUAUAUAUACUGUCACAUUCCCAUCAUGCUGACAUGCUAAAGUAAGAUGUGAGAUGGUGAACAUCAGAUCUGCAAAACAUCAUGUAUAGAAAUGUCAUUAUCUCAAUGUCUAAGGACGUUUGAGAAAGUUAGAAAAUGUGCUUUGGUGUGUUAUAUUUGCACUAGCUACUGGUAUUGUAACAAUACCAGGCUUGGGCUGGCAAGUGUGGCACAUGCCAGAUGGGCAAGGCAACCAGCAGCAAUGUUGGGAAAUAAGUUUGACUUACCUACUUAAUGCUGAAACAUCCCAGCCGACUGGGGGUUAGACCCUGAAAAAAACAUUACUGAUGGCCGUGACACAUAAAAACAUUAACAGUCCGCUGGCACCAAAUGAAGAGCAGGCCACUGCUGAGGAUGAGUGACAACCUCUUGCUUUAUGCAACUGAUAGGUGCAUAUGUUGGGGAAAAAUGGUCCAGAGAAAAAUAGCUAGGGCUCAAUUUAGUUCCCAGUCCGGAUCUAAAAUACUAAAGUAUUGUUGGUUACAAUACUCACCCCUCCAUCAAGCUCACGGAUUAUAACAGGUUUUGAGAAUUACUUUUGCAUUCCUUAGCAAUAAAUCUAACAUUCUCUCACAAUACAUUUUGAAUGAUAAUGAUCCAUACAUCCGCAAGAAGCCUGACACUGGCUGUGACCCACAGGGGGGGCGGCUUCUGCUGUGGCUCUCUGUUGCUAUGGUCAUAGUAGAUAACAGAGCUGCUAAGUCUGUUAUUGCUAAUAUUAAGAUAAUUAGCAGAGGUUAAUAAGUUCACUGCACUGUGCUAUGACAGGCUGCUGCCUGGCUGUGAGAGGGACAGACUGUGGCUGCAUAGCUGAGGCCGUGGCUGUAUGAGGCAUUGCUAUAGCUUUGGGCGUUGCUCUUGUUGUAAUUAUGGCUAUGGUUAUGGCUGUGGCUGUUAUGAUGACCAAGGAUGUGACACAUACUUUAUUAGUGGGUGUCACACUAACCAUACAGUGUUAAGGGCUGUGCAGGUGCCGUUAGUUGACAUGGUUGAGUUGGCUGAGCGUCGUGGUGAAGAUGUUCCUGGUGGUUACACAUCUGUAGUAGAAGGGAUCACAUCCUGGCGGGAGUGUCUGGCUUUAAAACGCUCUCUCGCCAAUCGUGCUAUCUUAGGUCCUGUAAAGAGUUGCCAGGGUAACCGCGCCACAGCCAUAACCGUACAGGCAUAGCAAUAGCUGUAGUUCUAUUCAUAGCCACAACCA